CUCAAUUUUUUUUUUGUUUAUACAUCAGUCAUGCUUUUCGAUUAUAGAGCCCAAACUUUGCUGAGAUAAUCUUGUUUAGGCUUAUAUGGAUAGAAAUGAAGCUAAGGACUAUUCGUGGUCCCAACGAUAUAGAAGUUUCUCUGCGAAAUUCUGUCAGAAUAUCUUACUGGCUAAAAUUGUUUGUGAUCUGGUUCUCUUGAAUGGG
rnacentral:misc_RNA from 1 species